rnacentral:rRNA from 1 species
GACAGAGGGUGCAAACGUUGUUCGGAUUUACUGGGCGUAAAGCGCGUGUAGGCGGCUUUGCAAGUCGGAUGUGAAAGCCCACGGCUCAACCGUGGAGGUGCAUCCGAAACUGCAUGGCUUGAGUCUCGGAGAGGAAGGUGGAAUGCUUGGUGUAGAGGUGAAAUUCGUAGAUAUCAAGCAGAACACCUGCGGCGAAGGCGGCCUUCUGGACGAUGACUGACGCUGAGACGCGAAAGCGUGGGGAGCAAACAGG